UCCAUUUGUUUGUAUCCUCUUUUAUUUCAUUGAACAGUGGUUUGUAGUUCUCCUUGAAGAGGUCCUUCAUGUCCCUUGUAAGUUGGAUCCCUAGGUAUUUCAUUCUCUUUGAAGCAAUUGUGAAUGGGAGUUCACUCAUGAUUUGGCUCUCUGUCUGUUAUUGGUGUAUAAGAAUGCUUGUGAUUUUUGUACAUUGAUUUUGUAUCCUGAGACUUUCCUGAAGUUGCUUAUCAGCUUACAGAGAUUUUGGGCUGAGACAAUGGGGUUUUCUAGAUAUACAAUCAUGUCAUCUGCAAACAGGGACAAUUUGACUUCCUCUUUUCCUAAUUGAAUACCCUUUAUUUCCUUCUCCUGCCUAAUUGCCCUGGCCAGAACUUCCAACACUAUGUUGAAUAGGAGUGGUGAGAGAGGGCAUCCCUGACUUGUGGCAGUUUUCAAAGGGAAUGCUUCCAGUUUUUGCCCAUUCAGUAUGAUAUUGGCUGUGGGUUUGUCAUAGAUAGCUCUUAUUAUUUUGAGAUAUGUCCCAUCAAUACCUAAUUUAUUGAGAGUUUUUAGCAUGAAGGCUGUUGAAUUUUGUCAAAGGCCUUUUCUGCAUCUAUUGAGAUAAUCAUGUAGUUUUUGUCUUUGGUUCUGUUUAUAUGCUGGAUUAUAUUUAUUGAUUUGCGUAUAUUGAACCAGCCUUGCAUCCCAGGGAUAGAGCCCACUUGAUCAUGAUGGAUAAGCUUUUUGAUGUGCUGCUGGAUUCGGUUUGCUAGUAUUUUAUUGAGGAUUUUUGCAUCAAUGUUCAUCAAGGAUAUUGGUCUAAAAUUCUCUUUUUUGGUUGUGUCUCUGCCAGGCUUUGGUAUCAGGAUGAUGCUGGCCUCAUAAAAUGAGUUAGGGAGCAUUCCCUCUUUUUCUGUUGAUUGGAAUAGUUUCAGAAGGAAUGGUACCAGUUCCUCCUUGUACCUCUGGUAGAAUUUGGCUGUGAAUCCAUCUGGUCCUGGACUCUUUUUGGUUGGUAAGCUAUUGAUUACUGCCACAAUUUCAGAGCCUGUUAUUGGUCUAUUCAGAGAUUCAAUUUCUUCCUGGUUUAGCCUUGGGAGGGUGUAUGUGUAGAGGAAUUUUUCCAUUUCUUCUAGAUUUUCUAGUUUAUUUGCGUAGAGGUGUUUGUAGUAUUCUCUGAUGGAAGUUUGUAUUUCUGUGGGAUUGGUGGUGAUAUCCCCUUUAUCAUUUUUUAUUGCGUCUAUUUGAUUCUUCUCUCUUUUUUUCUUUAUUAGUCUUGCUAGUGGUCUAUCAGUUUUGUUGAUCCUUUCAAAAAACCAACUCCUGCAUUCUUUAGUUUUCUGAAGGGUUUUUUGUGUCCCUAUUUCCUUCAGUUCUGCUCUGAUUUUAGUUAUUUCUUGCCUUCUGCUAGCUUUUGAAUGUGUUUGCUCUUGCUUUUCUAGUUCUUUUAAUUGUGAUGUUAGGGUGUCAAUCUUGGAUCCUUCCUGCUUUCUCUUGUGGGCAUUUAGUGCUAUGAAUUUCCCUCUACACACUGCUUUGAAUGUGUCACAGAAAUUCUGGUAUGUUGUGUCUUUGUUCGCGUUGGUUUCAAAGAACAUCUUUAUUUCUGCCUUCAUUUCGUUAUGUACCCAGUAGUCAUUCAGGAGCAGGUUGUUCAGUUUCCAUGUAGGUGAGCGGUUUUGAGUGAGUUUCUUAAUCCUGAGUUCUAGUUUGUUUGCACUGUGGUCUAAGAGACAGUUUGUUAUAAUUUCUGUUAUUUUCAAUUUGCUGAGGAGAGCUUUACUUCCAACUAUGUGGUCAAUUUUGGAAUAGGUGUGGUGUGGUGCUGAAAAAAAUGUAUAUUCUCUUGAUUUGGGGUGGAGAGUUCUGUAGAUGUCUAUUAGGUCCACUUGGUGCAGAGCUGAGUUCAAUUCCUGGGUAUCCUUGUUAACUUUCUGUUUCAUUGACCUAUCUAAUGUUGACAGUGAGGUGUUAAAGUCUCCCAUUAUUAUUGUGUGGGAGUCUAAGUCUCUUUGUAGGUCACUCAGGUCUUGCUUUAUGAAUCUGGGUGCUCCUGUAUUGGGUGCAUAUAUAUUUAGGAUAGUUAGCUCCUCUUGUUGAAUUGAUCCCUUUACCAUUAUGUAAUGGCCUUCUUUGUCUCUUGUGAUCUUUGUUGGUUUAAAGUCUGUUUUAUCAGAGACUAGGAUUGCAACCCUUGCCUUUUUUUGUUUUCCAUUUGCUUGGUAGAUCUUCUUCCAUCCUUUUAUUUUGAGCCUAUGUGUGUCUCUGCAUGUGAGAUGGGUUUCCUGAAUACAGUACACUGACGGGUCUUGACUCUAUCCAAUUUGCCAGUCUGUGUCUUUUUAUUGGGGCAUUUAGUCCAUUUACAUUUAAAGUUCAUAUUGUUAUGUGUGAAUUUGUCCUGUCAUUAUAGUGUUAGCUGGUUAUUUUGCUCGUUAGUUGAUGCAGUUUCUUCCUAGUCUCGAUGGUUUUUACAUUUUGGCAUGAUUUUGUAGUGGCUGGUACUGGUUGUUCCUUUCCAUGUUUAGUGCUUCCUUCAGGAGCUCUUUUAGGGCAGGCCUGGUGGUGACAAAAUCUCUCAGCAUUUGCUUGUCUGUAAAGUAUUUUAUGUCUUCUUCGUUUAUGAAGCUUAGUUUGGCUGGCUAUGAAAUUCUGGGUUGAAAAUUCUUUUCUUUAAGAAUGUUGAAUAUUGGCCUCCCCCUCUCUUCUGACUUGUAGAGUUUCUGCCAAGAGAUCUGCUGUUAGUCUGAUGGGCUUCCCUUUGUGGGUAACCCGACCUUUCUCUCUGGCUGCCCUUAACAUUUUUUCCUUCAUUUCAACUUUGGUGAAUCUGACAAUUAUGUGUCUUGGUGUUGAUCUUCUCGAGGAGUAUCUUUGUGGCGUUCUCUGUAUUUCCUGAAUCUGAAUGUUGGCCUGCCUUGCUAGAUUGGGGAAGUUCUCCUGGAUAAUAUCCUGCAGAGUGUUUUCCAACUUGGUUCCAUUCUCCCUGUCACUUUCAGGUACACCAAUCAGAUGUAGAUUUUGUCUUUUCAUAUAGUCCCAUAUUUCUUGGAGGCUUUGUUCAUUUGUUUUUACUGUUUUUUCUCUAAACUUCCCUUCUCGCUUCAUUUCAUUCAUUUCAUCUUCCAUCACUGAUAACCUUUCUUCCACUUUAUUGCAUCUGCUCCUGAAGCUUCUGCAUUCUUCAAAUAGUUCUCGAGCCUUGGCUUUGAGCUCCGUCAGCUCCUUUAAGCACUUCUCUGUAUUGGUUAUUCUAGUUAUACAUUUGUCUAAAUUUUUUUCAAAGUUUUUAACUUCUUUGCCUUUGGUUUGAAUUUCCUCCUGUAGCUCGGAGUAGUUUGAUCAUCUGAAGCCUUCUUCUCUCAACUCGUCAAAGUCAUUCUCCAUCCAGCUUUGUCCCGUUGCUGGUGAGGAGCUGCAUUCCUUUGCAGGAGGAGAGUCACUCUGUUUUUAGAGUUUCCAGUUUUUCUGCUCUGUUUUUUCCCCAUCUUUGUGGUUUUAUCUCCUUUUGGUCUUUGAUGAUGGUGAUGUACACAUGGGUUUUUGGUGUGGAUGUCCUGUUUGUUAGUUUUCCUUCUAACAGACAUGACCCUCAGCUGCAGGUCUGUUGGAGUUUGCUAGAGGUCCACUCCAGACCUGUUUGCCUGGGUAUCAGCAGCAGUGGCCGCAGAACAGAGGAUUUUCAUGAACCGCGAAUGCUGCUGUCUGAUUGUUCCUCUGGAAGUUUUGUCUCAGAGGAGUACCUGGCCGUGUGAGGUGUCAGUCUGCCCCUACUGGGGGGUGCCUCCCAGUCAGGGGCAGGGACCCACUUGAGGAGGCAGUCUGCUCCUUCUCAGAUCUCCAGCUGCAUGCUGGGAGAACCACUGCUCUCUUCAAAGCAGUCAGACAGGGACAUUUAAGUCUGCAGAGGUUACUGCUGUCUUUUUGUCUGUGCCCUGCCCCCAGAGGUGGAGCCUACAAAGGCAGGCAGGCCUCCUUUUGCUGUGGUGAGCUCCACCCAGUUCGAGCUUCCUGGCUGCUUUGUUGACCUGAGCAAGCCUGGGCAAUGGCGGGUGUCCCUCCCCCAGCUUAGCUGCCACCUUGCAGUUUGAUAUGAGACUGCUGUGCUAGCAAUCAGUGAGACUCCGUGGGUGUACGACCCUCCAAGCCAGGUGCAGGCUAUAAUCUCCUGGUGUGCCAUUUUUUAAGCCCAUUGGAAAAGUGCAGUAUUAGGGUGGGAGUGACCCGAUUUUCCAGGUGCCAUCUGUCACCCCUUUCUUUGACUAGGAAAUGGAACUCCCUGACCCCUUGCACUUCCCGAGUGAGGCAAUGCCUCGUCCUGCUUUGGCUCGCGCAUGGUGCGCUGCUCCCAGUGCCCUGCGCCCACUGUCUGGCACUCCCUAGUGAGAUGAACCCCGUACCUCAGAUGGAAAUGCAGAAAUCACUCAUCUUCUGUGUCACUCAGGCUGGGAGCUGUGGACCGGAGCUGUUUGUAUUCGGCCAUCUUGGCUGCCCUCGUCUCUCCUUAUGAUAAAUAUUCUGUGCUGUACUUAAAGGUAUGUACUGUGGCUUAUUUAUCUUUGUAUUCCCAGAACCCAAGGAUCCAAAUUAUUUCUUCAAAUUCAUGAUCACUCUACACAGUUUUGGAAUUUCUUUACAGGUGGUAUACUGAGGGGAAAACAUGCUUCAUGGACACAAGAUUUAGAAAAUAUUAUACUUUUUUUAACCACAUAAUUUUCAGUACCAUUUAUCAGGCAAUGUGCACAGAACAGUUGCUAGAUUCUAGAUUGAGAUGUAAACUCAUUUUACAAGUUAUAACUUUUUUUGUACCUAUUUAGGUACCCUGAAAUAGUAUUCUGUAAAAUACAUUUAGAAACAACAAAUAUACAGAAUCAUUCUAGCUUAAAGGGCAUAAAUUUUCAUGGAUUAUUUAUGAAUUUUCCAAAAAAUGAAAUUAGAAAUUAUUUUAUUUAUGAUGAUUUAUAUAAUAGAAAUUCUAGAUUCUAUUAGAAAGUCUUUCUUUUGAACUCAACUGACUGUUAGACCUUGUAUUAGUCUGUUUACACACUGCUAUAAGGAAUGAUCUGAGACUGGAUAAUUUAUAAAGAAAAGAGGUUUAAUUGACUCACAGUUCCUCAUGGUUGGCGAGGGCUCAGGAAACAUGGUGGAAGGCAAAGAAGAAGCAAGGCACAUCUUACAUAGAGGCAGUAAAGAGAGAGAGAGGGAGGCAGAAACUGUCAAACACUUUUAAACCAUCAGAUCUCAUGAGAACUCACUUGCUAUCAUGAGAAGAGCAUGAGGGAAACUGCCCCCAUGAUCCAAUAACCUCUCACCAUGUUCCUCCCUCAAUAUGUGGGGAUUACAAUUCAAGAUGACAUUUAUUUGGGGACACAGAGCCAAACCAUAUCAUUCUGCCCCUGACCCCUCCCAAAUCUCAUGUUCUUUUCUCAUUUCAAAACCAAUCAUGUUUUCCCAACAGUCCCCCAAAGUCCUAAUGCAUUCCAACAUUAACUCAAAAAUCCAAGUUCAAAGUCAUCUGAGACAACUCAAGUCCCUUCCACCUAUGAGCCUGUAAAACAAAAAACAAGCAUAUUGGCUAACAUGGUGAAACCCCAUCUUUACUGAAAAAAUACAAAAAAAUUAGCUGGGCAUGGCUGCAGGUGCCUGUAGUCCCAGCUACUCGGGAGACUGUGGCAGGAGAAUGGCAUGAACCUGGGAGGCAGAGCCUGCAGUGAGAUGAGAUCGCAUCACUGCAUUCCAGCCUGGGUGACAGAGCGAGACUCCAUCUCAAAAAAAUAAAUAAAAUAAAAUAAAAAAAAAAGCUAGUUAUUUCCAAGAUACAAUUGGGGUACAGGCAUUGGGUAAAUGUUCUCAUUCCAAAUGGGAGAAAUUGGCCAAAACAAAGAGGCCACAGGUCCCAUGCAAGAACAAAACCCAGCUGGCAUUUAUUAAAUCUUAAAGCUCCAAAAUAAUCUCCUUUGACUACAUGUCUAAUAUCCAGGGCAUGCUGAUGCAAGAGGUGAGUUCUCAAGGCCUUGGGCAGCUCUGCCUGUGUGGCCCUGCAGGGUAGUCCCCGCGGCUGGUUUCACAGGCUGGUGUUGAGUGCCUGCAGCUUUUCCAGGUGCACAAUGCAAGUUGUCAGUGGCUCUACCAUUCUGGGGUCUGGAGAACAGUGGUCCGCUUCUCACAGCUCCACCAGGCACUGCCCCAAUGGGACUCUGUGUGGGAGCCCCAAUCCCAUAUUUUUCUCUGCAUUUCUCUAGCAGAGGUUCUCCAUGACUCCAUCACUGCAGCAGACUUCUGCCUGGGCUUUCAGGAGUUUCCAUACAUCCUCUGAGAUCUAGGUGGAGGCUCCCAAACUGAACUCUUAUCUUCUGCGCACCUGCAGACCCAACACCACAUGGAAGCUGCCAAAGCUUGGGGCUUGCAUCCUCUGAAGCAACAGGCUGAGGGGCCUAUACGUUGGCCCCUUUUAGUCAUGGCUGAAGCUGGAGUGGCAGGGAUGCAGCGUGCCAUGUCCUGAGACUGCACAGAACAGCAGGGCCCUGGGCUUGGCCCACAAAACCAUUUUUCCCUCCUAGGUCCCUGAGCCUGUGAUGGGAGGGGUUGCUGUGAAGAUCUCUGACAUGCUCUGGAGACAUUUUCUACAUUGUCUUGGCUAUUAACGUUCUGCUCCGCAUUACUUAUGCAAAUUUCUGCAGCCAGCUUGAAUUUCUCCCCAGAAAAUGGGUUUUUAUUUUCUACCACAUGGUCAGUGUGCAAAUUUUCCAAAUUUUACACUCUGCUUCCCUUUUAAACAUAAGUUCCAAUUUAAUACCAUCUCUUCAUGAACACAUAGGACUGUAUGCUUCCAGAAAAGGCCAGGUCACAUCUCAAAGGCUUUGCUGUUUAGAAAUUUCUUCUGCUAGAUACCCUAAAUAUUCUCUCUCAAUUUAAAAGUUUCUACAGAUCUCUAGGGCAGGGGCAAAAUGCCACCAGUCUCUUUGCUAAAGCAUAGCAAGAGUGACCUUUACUCCAGUUCCCAAUAAAUUCCUCCUCUCCAUCUGAGACCAUCUCAGCCUGGACUUCAUUGUCCAUUAUCACUAUCAGCAUUUUGGUCAAAACUAUUCAAAAAGUCUCUAAGAAGUUCCAAACUUUCCCACAUCUUCCUGUCUUCUUCUGAGCCCUCCAACCAUUCCAACUUCUGCCUGUUAGCCAGUUCCAAAGUCACUUCCACAUUUUUAGGUAUCAUUAUAGCAGUGCCCCCAAACUCCCAGUACCAAUUUUCUGUUUUCAUACUGCUGUCUGUUUUCAUACUGCUAUAAAGAGUGACCUGAGACUGGGUAAUUUAUAAAAGAAAGAGGUUUAAUUGACUCAUAUUUCUUCAUGGUUAGGGAUGCCUCAGGAAACAUCAUCAUGGUGGAAGGUGAAGGAGAAGCAAGGCACAUCUUACAUGGCACCAGCAGGGAGAGAGAGGGUGAGGCAGAAACUGUCAAAUACUUUUAAACCAUCAGAUCUCAUGAGAACUCACUUGCUAUCAUGAGAACAGCAUGAGAGAAACUGCCCGCAUGAUCCAAUAACCUCCUACCGGAUUCCUCCCUCAACGUGUGGGGAUUACAAUUCAAGAUGACAUUUAGGUGGGGACAUAGAGUCAAAUCAUAUCAGACCUUCUUCCACUCUCUUCUAUUCAGCUUGCCAAAAUUUGCCACGCUAUUCAAUUCUAACAGGGUUUGUUUUGAAAAACUGAUUAAACAAUUAAUUUAAAUACUAAUUAUGAACACCCAUUCUAUAACUUCUGAGUAUUAAUAUAACUAGAAAAAGAUUGCUUUACAUUCAAGGCAUACUCAAGAAUGUUAGGGGAUUUAUUUAGUACACUGAUGAUUUCUGAUUUUCUCACAUUCAGGAAAUAACUUUAAAAGAUACCUGAAGAUUGAUGAGAGAGAGGGAUAGAGAGAGAAGGAGAAAGAGAGUGAGAAUGAGAUAUAUAUAUAUAUCAUAAAUAUAUAUUUCCUCUUCCUCUUCCUUCUUUUUCUUCUUUGUUGAGAAUUGACUUCCUCGGGAUAUUUUUGUUUCCCAAAGGUGCUAUUCACUUUCAAAGUCACAUCUGACUGUAGUGACAGAAUGUCUAUCUGAUUUAAUUCACAGGGCACCAGAAAGAACUUGGAGAUUAGCUGCCCCAGGAUGCAGGUGCCUCUCUGGAGAAAUGGAAAUUCUCCUUGAGUUGAUGUGUUCUUAGUCUCCUCUUGGUGUCUGAGCAGUGUGGAUGGUGUGAAGCAUCAAGGGAGCCAUGGUUUACUGCCUUGCAUGACACUUUUACAAAUGGUGACUAUUCUCACGCCCCCUCUCACCCCCACACAUGCAACAACAGGACCUCAUAGGCCAGCACCUCUUCAUCACCUGAAGCCAAAUAAAUUAUUCAGCACAGUUUGUACAACAUGAAUAUUCAUUGCAUUUUGCACAGUCUUGUGUGGAAAAUAACAUAAAAAUCUGUAAACCAAAUAGAGUUUGGAUCAUGGAGUAUCCUUGAAGCACAUAUUAAAUGAAUCGAACAUAAAUGUUAAAAACCAUUAAUGCUACCCCCUAUUCAGCCAGAUCUUGAAGAUGAAGAAAAAAUAUAUCUUAAAGUGGAGCCACCAUAUUUAGCUAGGGAGUCAAAAGCAUACAAUGAUUAUUUUGAUGAAAGAGAUGUAUUGCAUGAGAAGACGGAAAGAUGUAUUUAUUAUAGAAACAAACUUUAGAGCAUAAAAAAAAGGCUUUUUUCCUUUUUUUUUUUCUCAAACUCCAUUAAAACACAACUAUUUUCCCUGUUUAUUACUGUGGCUCAUACUACUUAACUUGAGAUUAAUAAAUAGCUCCUCUACAUUGAGCACUUGCAAAUUUGCCAGGUAAUAAGUUCAGCACUUUAUAAAUGUCAUAUUUCAAAUCCUGGAAGUAAUUUUUACUUUGAGCAGUACAAAUGUAGCCUAAGUAUGACUCCUCCAUGGGAAGCAGUCGCUAUUAAUAUCACUUUUCCAAUCUGGAAGCAGGAUUUAGUUCUUCUCUCUGUUCCCCAAAGAAAACCCAUUCUAUUAGAAUGUUUCAUGUGAGCUUAAGACGAAUGUGUAUUCAGAUGUUGUUAUAAGAAACAGUCUGUAGAAAUCAAUUAUAUCCAGUUGAUUGAAUAGCGCUGCUGAAUUCAACUAUAUUUUUACUGAUUCUUGCCUGCUUGAUGGGUCCAUUUAUCAUAGAAGGGUAUUGAAAUCUCCAACUAUAAUAGUGUGAAUUUGUCUUUUUCUCCUUGUAGUUCUAUCAGUUUUGCCUCAUCUAUUUUGAUACUCUGUUUUUAGGUUGCAUGCAUGUUAAUAAUUGUUGUGUCUUCCUAGAGAUUUGAUCCCUUUAUCAUUAUGUAGUGUCUUCUCUUUUUUUGUUUUUUUUUUGAGACAGAGUCUUGCUCUGUCACCCAGGCUGGAGUGCAGUGGCGCGAUCUUGGCUCACUGCAAGCUCCAGCUCCUGGGUUCACGCCGUUCUCCUGCCUCAGCCUCCUGAGUAGCUGGGACUCCAGUCGCCAGCCACCACACUCAGCUAAUUUUUUUGUAUUUUUAGUAGAGACGGGGUUUCACUAUGUUAGCUAGAAUGUUCUCGAUCUCCUGACCUCAGGAUCUGCCCACCUCAGCCUCCCAAUGUAGUGCCUUCUCUUUAUCUCAAGUAACUUCCUUUGCUCUGAAGUCUGAUCUGUCUGAAAUUAAUACUGCUACUCCUGCUUUCUUUUGAUUAUUUUUAGCUGAUAUAUCUUUCUCCAGGAAUUUACUUUCAGCCUAUAUCUAUAUCUCACUACCUAUCAAUCUAUAUCUGGGUAUAGAUUGAUAGAUCUUUAUAUUCAAAGUGGGUUUCUUAUAAACAACACAUAAUUGAGUCUUAUUUUUUGAACCACUCUGACAAUGUCUGUUUUUCAACUAGUACAUUUCAAUUGGUACAUUUAAACCAGGGGUGUCCAAUGUUUUAGCUUCCCUGGGCCACACUGGAAAAAGAAGAAUUAUCUAAGGCCACACAUAAAAUAUACUAACAUUAAUGAUAGCUGAUAAGCUAAAAGAAAAAAAUUCGCAAAAAAAUCUCAUAAUGUUUUAAGAAAGUUUACGAGUUUUGUGUUAGGCUGCAUUCAAAGCCAUCCUGGGCCUCAUGCAGCCCAUGGGCCAUGGGUUGGACAAGCUUGAUUUAAACCAUUGAUAUUCAAAUGUUGGUAUCAUUGGAUUAAGAAAUAUCAUAUUUGUUACUGUUUUUUAUUUGUUGCUCUUGUUCCUUGUUCUUAUUUUUGUCUUCCACUCUUUGUAUGCCUUACACGGUUUAACUUGAGCAUUUUAUGUUAUUUCAUUUUCAUUCCUAUUUUAGUAUUUUAGUUAUAAUUCUUUUAAAAAUUUUUUAGUUGUUGUCCUAGCAUUUGCCAUAUACAUUUACAACUAAUGCAAGUCUACUUUCAAAUAACACUAUGCCUCUUCACAGAUAGUGCAAAAUAAUAUCAUAGCAAAAUAAUACUAAUUCCAAUCUAUCAUCCCUUGUAUCAUUGUUGUCACUUAUUUCGUUUGCAUAUCACUCAUUUUCCUUCUCUCUGAGGAACUUAUUUUACAAUUUAUUGCAAGGGAGGUCUACUGGUAAUAAAUUACCUUAGUUUUUGAUUGUCUUAAGGAAGUCUGUGUUUCUUCUUUAUUUUUUAAGGAUAAUUUCAUCAGGUACAGAUUUCUACAUUUUUUUUUCUAUCAACACUUAAAUAAUUCAUUCCACUUUCUUCUUGCUUCCACGGUUUCUGCAAAGUCAGAUAUAAGUCUUAUCUUUGCUCUUAUGUAGGCAAAGUGGCAUUUCCCUCUGGCUCUUUGCAAGAUUUUUUCCUUAUCUUGGAUUUUCUGUAGUUAGAAAAUAUGUGUAGGUGUAGAUUUUUGGCAUUUAUAUUGCUUGGUGUUCUUUGAGCUUCCUGGAUCUGUGACUUGGUAUCUAAAGUUAAUUUGGGGAAAUUUUCAGUCCUCACUGUUUCAUUUAUUUCUUUUGUUUCUUUUCCCCUUUCUUCUGCUAUUUGCAUUAGACAUAUGUUACACCUUUUGUAGCUGUCCCCAAGUUUUGAAAUAUUCUGUUCUGGCUUUUUUUCAGUCUUUGUUCUAUUUGCUUUUCAGCUUUAUAGGUUUGUAUUGACAUCUUUCAAGCUCAUAAUUAGCUGAUUAAUAAGACCCUUAAAAUUAUUCUUUAUUUCUGUUACAAUGCUUUUGAUAUCUAGCAUUACUUUUUAGUUCUUCCCUAAUGUUUCCAUCCCUCUGCUUACAUGGCCCAUCUGUUCUUGCAUGUUGCCUACAUUAUUUUAGUGUCCUUACCAUAUUAAUCACAUAUGUUUUUAAAUUGCGGGUCUAAUCAUUCCAAAAUCCUUGCCAUGUUCUGAUGUUUGUUCUGUCUUCAAAUUCUGUUUAUUGCCAUUUAUUAUUUGUUCUGUAACAUUUUCUUGAUAGCCAAAAAUAACGUACUUGGUACAAGAAGCUGCUAUAAAUAGGUCUUUAGUAAUGGGGUGAUAAAGAGUAAAGAGAAAGGAACCAUUCUAUGGUCCUGUGUUUAAGUCUCAGUCUUUUAGUGAGCUUAUACCUCUGGACUGUGAAUUCAUAGGUGCUUUUCAGUUUUUAUUUUCUCUAAUAGGUGGUACAGAAAGCCAAGAAGGUCCAGGAUUUGGGUAUUUUCCUGCCUCCAGGUUAUUUAGGCUCUGUGAAUAACCUAGCAGAAUAGGCUCUGGUUAACUUGUUUCUCCUGAGGACAGAUGCUUUUUUUUAAAUUUUAUUAUUAUUGUUAUUUUGAGAUGGAGUUUCGUUCUUGUUGCCCAGGCUGGAGUGUAAUGGCGUGGUCUUGGCUCACUGCAACCUCUGCCUCCUGGGUUCAAGUGAUUCUCCUGCCUCAGCCUCCCAAGCAGCUGGGAUUACAGGCACCCACCACAACACCCAGUAUUUUUAGUAAAGUGGAGGUUUCACAAUGUUGGCAAGGCUGGUCUCGAACUACUGACCUCAGGUGAUCCGCCUGCCUCAGCCCCCCAAAGUGCUGGGAUUACAGGCACGAGCCACCGUGCCUGGCUGGUCUGGCAUAUAUUUAAAUGGUUUCUUUUCCUCUUCCCUUGCCAUAGCACAAAGGGAUUUUUCUUCAGCGUUUAUAAUGGGAAUCUUUUUGAGUUCCUGGAGGUAAAUCUCAAAGUACUGUGGGGUCCCUCCCCCAUGACUGGGGCACGGAAAUUUCAACCCUCAAAAUUGCCCACACCAAGCCUCUAUUCAUCAAUCACACUUCAUAUUUUCCUACUCUGCAUUGGUUCUUGCACCAAUUUCUUUGCUUGUUUUCUUUUCUUUCUUUGUUUCUUCCUCUUUUUUUUUUUUUUUGAGGCAAAUUAUCACCCUGUCACCCAGGCUGAAGUGCAGUGUUGUGAUCAUAGCUCACUGCAGCCUUGAACUCCUGAGCUCAAGUUGACUUCCAAAGUGGUUCACGUCUAAACUUCUAAAGGAAUUCUGAAGGAAUUUAGAAUUUUAGAGGUGAACCACUGGACCCAGCCUUCUGCUGUGAUUCCUGAUCAUGAUUCUCCCCUCCAGUAAGCUGUGACUCUCUGUAUGCGGUUGCCUCUCUCUCCAGUCUUGGGGGAGGUGAUGUGCCCUGCACUCCCCACUCUCUUACAGAUUCAAGUAGAGUUGUUGAUUUUCCAGUCUGUUCAGCAUUCUAUUUGUUAGGAUGGAGUGAAGGGCUUCUAAGCUCUUUAUAUGCAGAAUUGGAAACUGGAAGUUCCUCUGUGUAUUUUUAAAAAUUAUAUUUGAUUCUGAUGCGAGGCAUACACAGCAGUUAUUCAAUACAUGCGUUUCUGUAUAAAUGCUAACACAAAACUCCAUUGCCAUGUUCAGCUUUAUACAUGAAAAGGGGACAAGAACUUUGCUAGGCCUUAGCAGAUGUCUCAAGACAAGGCUAAUGUGCCAAGUCAUUCCUGGAGCUGAGAUGUUAGAUUUUCUGUUGAGGCUGAAAUGAAGAAGACGAUGAUAGUCCCAGGCAGUAUGCAGAAUCAAACUCUUCAACCAUAGAAUUUUAACUCCUCUGUGACAAGCUAGAGUGAUUAAACAUCUUUUAAAAAGUAUCCUUAGGAAGACUUUUUCCAGUAGCAUAUUAAUUAUCAAAGUAGAUGAUAUAUCCUUUUGUUGACUCAGUUUAUAUUCAGUGUUAGAACUUGCAGUUUAGUCAUUUGAACAUAAAGAGUUAACUAACAUAGCAAUGUAAGACCACAUGACCUAGAAUUGCCAUGAUUUUAAAAAGAGCACUUUAGCAUAAAUUGUUGCUUGGGAUACCAUAUGCUCUCAGCAGCCAGCAUGCACACAAAGUAAAGAGAAAAUUAUGAAUAAUGUGACAGGUUGGAGGCAAAAGAUAAUGAUCUUCUUCCCUUAAAUUCAUAGUUUCAAAGUAUGGCAGCAUCAUUUCUUGAUUUGUUCUUUCAAAUUCUCAAAAAAGCAAAGUAACCCAUGCACAAAUGUAUGAUUAAAAAAUGUAUCUAUGCCCAAUAUGGGUUGUACUCUGAUUAUUUUGUUGUUGUUGUUCUGUCUCUUUUCUAGUGUGGGCAAAUAUAAAGAAAACUCAACCAGUAUUCACUGGUUUUCCAGAAAGAAAUGGAUAUAGAUAGAAUAAUUUCAAAGAAACUAGGCAGAAAUGAACAAAGUGCUGUUUCAUUUCCACAUUUAAGAAGGUAUAUACUGUUUGCAAAAUCCUAAAUUCAAAGAACAAAAUUGAGUUGGUUGUUGUUUACCAAAGAUAACAAUCGUUAGCUGUGUAAUCAGGUAAAAUCCACUUUGCUUUGCUAGACUUGCAUCAAGUAAUGAUUUUAACAUUGACUUAUUAUUUGGUGGCCUUAUUACACAGCCUUAUUACAUGGUGAUCAUUUCUCCAUUAAAAGCUAAUAAUUCCAUAUAUAGAAAUAGUAUUGGCUGGGUGCAGUGGAUCACGCCUAUAAUCCCAACACUUUGUGGGGCUGAGUUGGGAGGAUGGCUUGAGGCCUAGAGUUGGAGACCAGUUUGGACAACAUAAAGAGACCUCGUUUCUACACACACACAAAAUAAGAAAAUUAGCUGGACAUGUUGAUGUAAACCUGUUGUCCCAGCUACUUGGAUGGCUGAGAUGGAACAUAACUUGAGCCCAGGAGUUUGAAGUUACAGCGAGCUAUGAUUAUGCUACCACACUCUGCACUCCAAACUGGGCUAAAGGGGGUUGAGUUCUUGAUUUGAUUCUCAGCUUGGUCAUUGUUGGUGUAUAGCAGUGAUACUAAUUUGUGAAUUUGUGUUCAUUGAUUUUGUAUCCUGAGACUUUACUGAAUUCAUUUAUCAGGUCUAGGAGAUAUUUUGGAUUAGUCUUUAAGGCUUUCUAGGUUCACAAUCACAUCCUUGAUGAACAUUGACAAUUAGAGUUUCUCUUUUCCAAUUUGGGUGACCUUUGUUUCUUUCUCAUGUCUGAUUGCUCUGGCUGGAACUUCUAAUACUAUGCUGAGUAGAAGUAGUGAAAAUGGGCAUCCUUGUCUUGUUCCAGUUCUCAGGGAGAAUGUUUUCAACUUUUCCCCAUUCAGUAUGAUGUUGGCUCUGGGUUUGUCAUAGAUGGCUUUUAUUACUUUGAGGUAAGUUCCUUCUAUGCCUGUUUUGUUGAAGGUUUUAAUCAUAAAGGAAUGCUGGAUUUCUUCAAGUGCUUUUUCUGCAUCUACUGAGAUAAUCAUACAGUUUUCUUUUUUAAUUCUGUUUAUGUCAUGUAUCACAUUUUUUGAUCUGGGUAUGUUAAAUCAUCUCUGCAUCCCUGGUAUGAAACCCAUUUGAACAAGAUGUAUAAUCUCUCUGAUAUGCUUUUGGAGCCACUUAGCUAGUAUUUUGUUGAGAAUUUUUAUGUCUAUGUUCAUCAGGGAUAUUGGUCUGUAGUGUUCUCUUUUUUUAUCCUUUCCUGGUUUUGAUAUUAGGGUGAUACUGGCUUCAUAGAAUGAUUUAGUAAAGAUUCCCUCUUUCUCUAUCUUUUGGAAUAGUUUCAGUAGAAUUGGUACCAAUUCUUUAAAGGCGUGGUAGAAUUCAUCUGUGAAUCUGUCUAAUUCUGAAUUUUUCUGUUGGCGAUUUUUUUUAAAUUACCAAUUCAAUCUCAUUGCUUGUUAUUGAUCUGUUCAGGGUUUCUAUUUCUUCCUGAUUUAAUCUAGGAGGGUUGCAUAUUUCCUGGAAUUUAUCCAUUUCCUCUAGAUUUUCUAGUUUGUGCAUUAAAGGUGUUCUAGUAGCCUAAAUUAGGUUUGUGUUUCUGUGGUAUUGUUUGUCAUAUUUCCGGUUUCAUUUCUAAUUGAGUUUAUUUGGGUCUUUUCCCUUCUUUUCUUGGCUAAUCCCACUAAUGAUUAUCAAUUUUGUUUCUUUUCAGAAAAACAGCUUUUUAAUGUUUAUCUUUUCUACUUUUUGGUUGUUGUUUAUUUGUUAUUUCUUUUAUUCUCCUGGGUUUGGGUUUAGUUUUUUCUUGUUUCUCUAGUACCAUGAGGUAUGAAACUAGGUUGCCUAACUAGGUUGUCAAAAAAUCCUUCAGUCUUUUUUUUUUUUUUUUUUUUUGAGACAGAGUCUUGCUCUGUCACCCAGGCUGGAGUGCAGUGGCGCAAUCUCAGAUCACUGCAACCUCCACCUCCUGGGUUCAAGCAAUUUCCUGCCUCAGCCUCCUGAGUAGUUAGGAUUACAGGUGCCCACAACCAUGCCUGGCUAAUUUUUGUAUUUUUAGUAGAGACGGGGUUUCACCAUCUUGGCCAGGCUGGUCUUGAACUCCUGACCUCAUGAUCCACCCACCUCAGCUUCCCAAAGUGCUCAGACUUUUUGAUGUAGGCAUUUAAUGCUAUGAACUUUCCUCUUAUCACCACUUUUGCUGUAUCCCAGAGGUUUUCAUCAGUUGUGUCACUGUUAUUCAUUUCAAAGAAUUUUUAAUUUCCAUUUUCAUUUUGUUGUUAACCCCAAAAUCACUCAAGAGUAUGUCAUUUAAUUUCCAUGUAUUUGUAUACUUUUGAGAGUUUCUUUUGGAGUGGAUUUCUAGUUUUAUUCCACUGUGGUCUGAGAAGAUACUUGGUAUGAUUCCAAUUUUCUUAAAUUUAUCAAGACUUGUUUGGUGGCAUAUCAUAUGGAAUCUUGGAGAAUUUACCAUGUGUUGAAGAGAAGAAUAUAUAUUCCGUCAUAAUGAAGCAGAAUUUUCUGUAAAUAUCUGUUAAGUCCAUUUGUUCUAGGGUAUAGGUUACGUCCAUUAUUUCUUUGUUGACUUUCUGUCUUGAUGAUCUGUCUAUUGCUGUCAGUGGAGUAUUGAGGUUCCCCACUACUAUUGGGUUGCAUCUAUCUAAUUUCUUAGGUCUAGUUGUAAUUGUUUUAUAAAUCUGGAACUCCAAUGUUAGGUGCAUAUAAAUUUAGCAUUGUAAUAUCUUCCUAUUGGACUAAUCUUUUAUCAUUAUAUAAUAUCCUUCUUUGUCUUUUUUCUUUUACAGUUGUUGCUUUAAGGUCUGUUUUGUCUGGUAUAAGAAUAGGUACUCUGGUCUUGUUUAGUUUCCAUUUGCGUGGAAUAUCUUUUUUCCACUCCUUUACCUUAAGUUUAUGUGAGUUAUUAUGUGCUAGGUGAGUCUCUUGAAGACACAGGAGAUACUUGGUUGGUGGCUUUUAAUCCAUUCUGCCAUUCUACAUCAUUUAAGUGGAAAUUUAGGCCACUAACAUUCAACAUUUAUAUUGAGAUGUGAGGUACUGUUCUAUUCAUCAUGGUAGUGUUACCUAGAUACUUUUUUACAUUGUGGUAUUAUUUUAUAGGUCCUGUGAGAUUUAUGCUUUGAAGAGGUUCUAUUUUGGUGCAUAUUAAGCUCUUGUUUCCAG
rnacentral:lncRNA from 1 species